CCUACGGGUGGCAGCAGUGAGGAAUAUUGGUCAAUGGACGAGAGUCUGAACCAGCCAAGUAGCGUGAAGGAUGACUGCCCUAUGGGUUGUAAACUUCUUUUAUAAAGGAAUAAAACGAGGCACGUGUGCCUUUUUGCAUGUACUUUAUGAAUAAGGAUCGGCUAACUCCGUGCCAGCAGCCGCGGUAAUACGGAGGAUCCGAGCGUUAUCCGGGUUUAUUGGGUUUAAAGGGAGCGUAGAUGGGUUGGUAAGUCAGUUGUGAAAGUUUGCGGUUCAACCGGAAAAUUGCAAUUGAUACUGGCAGUCUUGAGUACAGUUGAGGUAGGCGGAAUUCGUGGUGUAGCGGUGAAAUGCUUAGAUAUCACGAAGAACCCCGAUUGCGAAGGCAGCUCACUAAACUGUGACUGACAUUGAUGCUCGAAAGUGUGGGUAUCAAACAGGAUUAGAUACCCCUGUAGUC
rnacentral:rRNA from 1 species